GCAUUGGUGGUUCAGUGGUAGAGUUCUUGCCCCCCACGUGGGAGACCCGGGUCUGAAUCCCGACCAAUGCG
rnacentral:tRNA from 1 species